GGGGUUGAAAUCCGAAAGGGGCGAAGGCAGCCUUCUUGGCAUCAUAACUGACACUGUAGGCUCGAAAGCGUGGGUAGCAAAUAGGAUAAAAUACCCUGGUAGUCCACGCCGUAAACGAUGUCUACUAGUCGUUGGGUCCCUUGAGGACUUAGUGACGCAGCUAACGCAAUAAGUAGACCGCCUGGGGAGUACGGCCGCAAGGUUAAAACUCAAAUGAAUUGACGGGGGCCCGCACAAGCGGUGGAGCAUGUGGUUUAAUUCGAUGCAACGCGAAGAACCUUACCUGGUCUUGACAUAUCUAGAAUCCUGCAGAGAUGCGGGAGUGCCUUCGGGAAUUAGAAUACAGGUGCUGCAUGGCUGUCGUCAGCUCGUGUCGUGAGAUGUUGGGUUAAGUCCCGCAACGAGCGCAACCCUUGUCCUUAGUUACCAGCGGGUUAAGCCGGGAACUCUAAGGAUACUGCCAGUGACAAACUGGAGGAAGGCGGGGACGACGUCAAGUCAUCAUGGCCCUUACGACCAGGGCUACACACGUGCUACAAUGGUAGGUACAGAGGGCAGCUACACAGCGAUGUGAUGCGAAAUCUCAAAAAAGCCCUAUCGUAGUCCAGAUUUGGAGUCUGCAACUCGACUCCAUGAAAAUAGGAAUCGCUUAGUAAUCGCGGGAUCAGAAUGCCGGCGGUGAAAUACGAUUCCCGGGCCUUUGUACAACACCGCCCCGUUCACACCCA
rnacentral:rRNA from 1 species